rnacentral:ncRNA from 1 species
AGGAACCCGGUGCGAGUCCGGGGCGGUCCCGCCACUGUCACCGGAUCGGCGUCACCGCCGGCCCGGGAGCCAGACACU